rnacentral:rRNA from 1 species
ACUCCUACGGGAGGCAGCAGUGGGGAAUCUUAGACAAUGGGGGCAACCCUGAUCUAGCCAUGCCGCGUGAGUGAUGAAGGCCUUAGGGUCGUAAAGCUCUUUCGCCAGGGAUGAUAAUGACAGUACCUGGUAAAGAAACCCCGGCUAACUCCGUGCCAGCAGCCGCGGUAAUACGGAGGGGGUUAGCGUUGUUCGGAAUUACUGGGCGUAAAGCGCACGUAGGCGGAUCAGAAAGUUGGGGGUGAAAUCCCGGGGCUCAACCCCGGAACUGCCUCCAAAACUACUGGUCUAGAGUUCGAGAGAGGUGAGUGGAAUUCCGAGUGUAGAGGUGAAAUUCGUAGAUAUUCGGAGGAACACCAGUGGCGAAGGCGGCUCACUGGCUCGAUACUGACGCUGAGGUGCGAAAGUGUGGGGAGCAAACAGGAUUAGAUACCCUGGUAGUCCACACCGUAAACGAUGAAUGCCAGUCGUCGGGCAGUAUACUGUUCGGUGACACACCUAACGGAUUAAGCAUUCCGCCUGGGGAGUACGGUCGCAAGAUUAAAACUGAAAGGAAUUGACGG